GACGAACGCUGGCGGCGUGCUUAACACAUGCAAGUCGAGCGGUAAGGCCCUUUCGGGGGUACACGAGCGGCGAACGGGUGAGUAACACGUGGGCGACCUGCCCUCAGCUCUGGGAUAAGCCCGGGAAACUGGGUCUAAUACCGGAUAUGACCUCUCAUCGCAUGGUGGGUGGUGGAAAGUUUUUUCGGCUGAGGAUGGGCCCGCGGCCUAUCAGCUUGUUGGUGGGGUGAUGGCCUACCAAGGCGACGACGGGUAGCCGGCCUGAGAGGGCGACCGGCCACACUGGGACUGAGACACGGCCCAGACUCCUACGGGAGGCAGCAGUGGGGAAUAUUGCGCAAUGGGCGGAAGCCUGACGCAGCGACGCCGCGUGGGGGAUGACGGCCUUCGGGUUGUAAACCUCUUUCGACCUUGACGAAGGCCUUCGGGUUGACGGUAGGGGUAGAAGAAGCACCGGCCAACUACGUGC
rnacentral:rRNA from 1 species